rnacentral:lncRNA from 1 species
AUGAACAGAUGGUCCUGGGCAGCUCGAGCCCACCCCAGGGGCAGCGAUGCGGGGCCGCGGCCGCACGCCUUGGGGACAGGGACAUGCCCACGGGGGGACUCCUGUGCUCCCCUCCCGAGGGGCAGGAACCCUCUGGGACCCAUCACCCAUGGACUCCCCAUCCUAUGGGGUGAGCUGGGUGCUGCCAGGCACCUGGAGCAUCCCCCUGCCCUCCCCAGCCCUCGGUUGGAGGGAUCACAGAGCGGGAGGGCGCAGGGCUCAGCUGGUGCUGGGUCUCCCAGAGGGGUUCAGACUGGGAUGGGUGACGAUAAAACCAGGCUGCUAAUCCCCCUGUGGAUUACAUGGGACUGUGGCACGAGGCUUUGGAGCCGCCAAACACCCAGACCCUCCUGGAGGUACCCCAAAAAUCCCGGUCUACGUGCGGGAAGGUGCGCGGCACAUCCCCCUGGCACGCGGGGAGGAUGCACGGGGCCAAACGCUCCUCCCCGCGCCACGCUGCUGCCUUUCCCGCGGCCCUGGCACGGGAACGGGGCUCCUGGCCUCGGGGGGGGCCCGGCCCGGCCCAACCGGCUCCCAGCCCACACCCGUGAGAAGAGCCGGGGCCCGUCCUGCCUCUCAGGUGUGGCCCUGCGCCUCCGGGCUCCCGCUGCUGCCAGCCUGGAUGCGGCCGGGAGGAGGGAGCGGGAGGCGCUUGGCAGCCUCCAGGCUCGGAUGGGGGCGUCUGCAGCACCCCCAGCUCCUUCCCAAGGGGUCCCUUGGGAUUUUGGGUUUCUGCUGGGGGGCAGACCCCUUGGGAGGCUGUGGUUUGUGGCACCCCGAACGUGCUCGGUGAUGAGAGCAGGUCCCCAGGCAGGCGCAGCGCUUCGCCCCAGCCAGCCCGGGAGGCCGGCGACAGAAAUGGGUACAAACCCCAGGUGUUUGGGUUCCUCCGCCACCAGAACCCACGCCCUUCCCAACAAACAGCCAAACCCAGCCUCCCACGGCCAGCGGGCUCCCGGCCCUCUCACCGGGCUUGGCUGCAAGAGGGAAACGCGCAGCCACAGCCCCCAGCGGAGCCGAGCGCGGGGCUGGCGUGCCGGCCCUGGAGCUGCUCCAGCCCUUUCUUCCCCAGCCCGGCAAGCCCUAAAACCCACAGCUCGUCUCUGCAGAACAGGUUCGGCACAGCAGCAGCCGUGCCAGCUUCCCACGCAGCAGCACAGCCCAGCCUGCCCCGCACCCCCUGCCCCAAUAGCCCUUCUCUUUUUUUCGCCCUGCUCUCUUCCUGGAUCAAAGCUGCCUCCCCUCCCCGUAUUACAAACAUCAUUUGGCUCGGAGAUAAGAAGCUCUCCAGCAGCUCUUUAUUAA